rnacentral:rRNA from 1 species
UACAGAGGGUGCAAGCGUUGUUCGGAAUUAUUGGGCGUAAAGGGCGCGUAGGCGGUGCGGUAAGUCACCUGUGAAACCUCUGGGCUUAACUCAGAGCCUGCAGGCGAAACUGCCGUGCUUGAGUGUGGGAGAGGUGCGUGGAAUUCCCGGUGUAGCGGUGAAAUGCGUAGAUAUUGGGAGGAACACCGGUGGCGAAGGCGGCUACCUGGACCGGAACUGACGCUGAGGCGCGAAAGCGUGGGUAGCAAACAGG